rnacentral:rRNA from 1 species
UACGUAGGGUGCGAGCGUUAAUCGGAAUUACUGGGCGUAAAGCGUGCGCAGGCGGUUAGAUAAGUUUGAUGUGAAAUCCCCGGGCUCAACCUGGGAACUGCAUUGAAGACUGUCUGACUAGAGUACGGCAGAGGGGGGUAGAAUUCCACGUGUAGCAGUGAAAUGCGUAGAGAUGUGGAGGAAUACCAAUGGCGAAGGCAGCCCCCUGGGUCGAUACUGACGCUCAUGCACGAAAGCGUGGGGAGCAAACAGG